GAUGAAGAACGUAGCGAAAUGCGAUAAGUAAUGUGAAUUGCAGAAUUCAGUGAAUCAUCGAAUCUUUGAACGCACCUUGCGCUCUUUGGUAUUCCGAAGAGCAUGCCUGUUUGAGUGUCAUGAAAAUAUCAACCUUGACUUGGGUUUUGUGCUCUAGUCUCGGGUUGGAAUUGGGUGCUUGCCGCUUUUACGAGCGGCUCACCUUAAAUGUAUUAGCUGGAUCUGUCUUUGAGACUUGGUUUGACUUGGCGUAAUAAGUAUUUCGCUAAGGACAUUCUUCGGAGUGGCCUCGUUUCUAGGACGCUUGUCCGCUUUCCAAUACAAGUUCCACCUCGUGGACAUGACUUUUUAUUAUCUGGCCUCAAAUCAGGUAGGACUACCCGCUGAACUUAAGCAUAUCAAUAAGCGGAGGA
rnacentral:misc_RNA from 1 species